UUAAGCGACUAAGCGUACACGGUGGAUGCCCUGGCAGUCAGAGGCGAUGAAGGACGUGCUAAUCUGCGAUAAGCGUCGGUAAGGUGAUAUGAACCGUUAUAACCGGCGAUUUCCGAAUGGGGAAACCCAGUGUGAUUCGUCACACUAUCAUUAACUGAAUCCAUAGGUUAAUGAGGCGAACCGGGGGAACUGAAACAUCUAAGUACCCCGAGGAAAAGAAAUCAACCGAGAUUCCCCCAGUAGCGGCGAGCGAACGGGGAGCAGCCCAGAGCCUGAAUCAGUGUGUGUGUUAGUGGAAGCGUCUGGAAAGGCGUGCGAUACAGGGUGACAGCCCCGUACACAAAAAUGCACAUACUGUGAGCUCGAUGAGUAGGGCGGGACACGUGGUAUCCUGUCUGAAUAUGGGGGGACCAUCCUCCAAGGCUAAAUACUCCUGACUGACCGAUAGUGAACCAGUACCGUGAGGGAAAGGCGAAAAGAACCCCGGCGAGGGGAGUGAAAAAGAACCUGAAACCGUGUACGUACAAGCAGUGGGAGCACGCUUAGGCGUGUGACUGCGUACCUUUUGUAUAAUGGGUCAGCGACUUAUAUUCUGUAGCAAGGUUAACCGAAUAGGGGAGCCGAAGGGAAACCGAGUCUUAACUGGGCGUUAAGUUGCAGGGUAUAGACCCGAAACCCGGUGAUCUAGCCAUGGGCAGGUUGAAGGUUGGGUAACACUAACUGGAGGACCGAACCGACUAAUGUUGAAAAAUUAGCGGAUGACUUGUGGCUGGGGGUGAAAGGCCAAUCAAACCGGGAGAUAGCUGGUUCUCCCCGAAAGCUAUUUAGGUAGCGCCUCGUGAAUUCAUCUCCGGGGGUAGAGCACUGUUUCGGCAAGGGGGUCAUCCCGACUUACCAACCCGAUGCAAACUGCGAAUACCGGAGAAUGUUAUUACGGGAGACACACGGCGGGUGCUAACGUCCGUCGUGAAGAGGGAAACAACCCAGACCGCCAGCUAAGGUCCCAAAGUCAUGGUUAAGUGGGAAACGAUGUGGGAAGGCCCAGACAGCCAGGAUGUUGGCUUAGAAGCAGACAUCAUUUAAAGAAAGCGUAAUAGCUCACUGGUCGAGUCGGCCUGCGCGGAAGAUGUAACGGGGCUAAACCAUGCACCGAAGCUGCGGCAGCGACGCUUAUGCGUUGUUGGGUAGGGGAGCGUUCUGUAAGCCUGUGAAGGUGUGCUGUGAGGUAUGCUGGAGGUAUCAGAAGUGCGAAUGCUGACAUAAGUAACGAUAAAGCGGGUGAAAAGCCCGCUCGCCGGAAGACCAAGGGUUCCUGUCCAACGUUAAUCGGGGCAGGGUGAGUCGACCCCUAAGGCGAGGCCGAAAGGCGUAGUCGAUGGGAAACAGGUUAAUAUUCCUGUACUUGGUGUUACUGCGAAGGGGGGACGGAGAAGGCUAUGUUGGCCGGGCGACGGUUGUCCCGGUUUAAGCGUGUAGGCUGGUUUUCCAGGCAAAUCCGGAAAAUCAAGGCCGAGGCGUGAUGACGAGGCACUACGGUGCUGAAGCAACAAAUGCCCUGCUUCCAGGAAAAGCCUCUAAGCAUCAGGUAACAUCAAAUCGUACCCCAAACCGACACAGGUGGUCAGGUAGAGAAUACCAAGGCGCUUGAGAGAACUCGGGUGAAGGAACUAGGCAAAAUGGUGCCGUAACUUCGGGAGAAGGCACGCUGAUACGUAGGUGAAGCGACUUGCUCGUGGAGCUGAAAUCAGUCGAAGAUACCAGCUGGCUGCAACUGUUUAUUAAAAACACAGCACUGUGCAAACACGAAAGUGGACGUAUACGGUGUGACGCCUGCCCGGUGCCGGAAGGUUAAUUGAUGGGGUUAGCGCAAGCGAAGCUCUUGAUCGAAGCCCCGGUAAACGGCGGCCGUAACUAUAACGGUCCUAAGGUAGCGAAAUUCCUUGUCGGGUAAGUUCCGACCUGCACGAAUGGCGUAAUGAUGGCCAGGCUGUCUCCACCCGAGACUCAGUGAAAUUGAACUCGCUGUGAAGAUGCAGUGUACCCGCGGCAAGACGGAAAGACCCCGUGAACCUUUACUAUAGCUUGACACUGAACAUUGAGCCUUGAUGUGUAGGAUAGGUGGGAGGCUUUGAAGUGUGGACGCCAGUCUGCAUGGAGCCGACCUUGAAAUACCACCCUUUAAUGUUUGAUGUUCUAACGUGGACCCGUGAUCCGGGUUGCGGACAGUGUCUGGUGGGUAGUUUGACUGGGGCGGUCUCCUCCUAAAGAGUAACGGAGGAGCACGAAGGUUGGCUAAUCCUGGUCGGACAUCAGGAGGUUAGUGCAAUGGCAUAAGCCAGCUUGACUGCGAGCGUGACGGCGCGAGCAGGUGUGAAAGCAGGUCAUAGUGAUCCGGUGGUUCUGAAUGGAAGGGCCAUCGCUCAACGGAUAAAAGGUACUCCGGGGAUAACAGGCUGAUACCGCCCAAGAGUUCAUAUCGACGGCGGUGUUUGGCACCUCGAUGUCGGCUCAUCACAUCCUGGGGCUGAAGUAGGUCCCAAGGGUAUGGCUGUUCGCCAUUUAAAGUGGUACGCGAGCUGGGUUUAGAACGUCGUGAGACAGUUCGGUCCCUAUCUGCCGUGGGCGCUGGAGAACUGAGGGGGGCUGCUCCUAGUACGAGAGGACCGGAGUGGACGCAUCACUGGUGUUCGGGUUGUCAUGCCAAUGGCACUGCCCGGUAGCUAAAUGCGGAAGAGAUAAGUGCUGAAAGCAUCUAAGCACGAAACUUGCCCCGAGAUGAGUUCUCCCUGACCCUUUAAGGGUCCUGAAGGAACGUUGAAGACGACGACGUUGAUAGGCCGGGUGUGUAAGCGCAGCGAUGCGUUGAGCUAACCGGUACUAAUGAACCGUGAGGCUUAACCUU
rnacentral:rRNA from 1 species